AUGGGUGGUUCUCCGACGAAAUUCCUCAAAGAAGAUAUCCAUGGACCACCGAUGGAGGUUGCAGUUGCCAAAUUACCAGUGCUGCCACAAGAUGUCCUGAUGUCUAUAUUUGCACACCUGGAGAUCCCUGACCUGAUGCGUGCCAGCUUCGUCUGCUCCUCGUGGCGCUCCGCGUAUUCCAGCCUGCGCAACCUUGAGCAGUACCAGCAACGCCAGACGCCGUGCCUCUUAUACACAUCUGAAUCUGCUGGUGAAAGCGUUGCGUGCCUCUACAGCCUCUUGGAGAAGAGGUCAUACAAGUUGACUCUCCCGGAGCCACCUAUUCGCAGCAGGUAUCUGAUUGGGUCAUCAAAUGGCUGGCUGGUUACUGCUGAUGAGAGAUCCGAGAUGCAUAUUCUCAAUCCCAUCACAUGUGAACAGAUCGCUCUCCCGUCGGUGAUCACCAUCGCACAUGUGACUCCUGUUUUUGAUGAAAGAGGUGCCUUAUGUAAGUACAUUUACUCUCGUGACACAGCGGAGCACCGUAGUACCACCGGCCCUCAACCCGUUGAUCUUGGCGAGCUGCGACACCACCGUAGUAUUUUAUGA
rnacentral:rRNA from 1 species